rnacentral:rRNA from 1 species
AUUGAACGCUGGCGGCAGGCCUAAAACAUGCAAGUCGAACGAGUGGCGGACGGGUGAGUAAUGUCUGGGAAACUGCCUGAUGGAGGGGGAUAACUACUGGAAACGGUAGCUAAUACCGCAUACCAUCAGAUGUGCCCAGAUGGGAUUAGCUGGUUGGGGGGGUAACGGCUCACCAAGGCGACUAUGCCUAGCUGUUCGGAGAGGAUGACCGGCAACACGGGACUUGAGACACGGCCCAGAUUCCUAGGGAAGCCAGAAGUGGGAAAUAUCGGACAAGGGGCGCAAGCUUGAUGCAGAAAGGCCGGGGGUAUGUAGAAGGCUUCGGGGUUGUAAACUAUUUUAAGCGGGGAGGCGUUACCCGAAUAAGAAGCAACGGCUAACUACGUGCCAGCAGCCGCGGUAAUUC